rnacentral:rRNA from 1 species
AUUGAACGCUGGCGGCAGGCCUAACACAUGCAAGUCGAACGAGUGGCGGACGGGUGAGUAAUGUCUGGGAAACUGCCUGAUGGAGGGGGAUAACUACUGGAAACGGUAGCUAAUACCGCAUACCAUCGGAUGUGCCCAGAUGGGAUUAGCUAGUAGGUGGGGUAACGGCUCACCUAGGCGACGAUCCCUAGCUGGUCUGCGAGGAUGACCAGCCACACUGGACCUGAGACACGGUCCAGACUCCUACGGGAGGCAGCAGUGGGGAAUAUUGCACAAUGGGCGCAAGCCUGAUGCAGCCAUGCCGCGGUGAUGAAGAAGGCCUGCGGGUUGUAAAGUACUUUCAGCGGGGAGGCGUUACCCGCAGAAGAAGCACCGGCUAACUCCGUGCCAGCAGCCGCGGUAAUUC